GCAGCAGAGCUCAGUGGGUAGAGCAUGAGUCUCUUUGAUCUCAGGCCCCUGGGUUCGAGCCCCAGGCUGGGCA